UCACUUACCUGGACGGGGUCUAUGGCUGAACAAGAAGAGCCAUGGCCUAGGCACGUGACCUCCAUUGCACAAUAGGAGGGUCGUGUGACUAAGGUCGAUCCAAGUGGUUGUUCCUCCGUCAUUAUUUGUUCCUGUGGGGGAUUGCGUUCGCGCGGCGGCCCCUA
rnacentral:snRNA from 1 species